rnacentral:rRNA from 1 species
UACGAAGGGGGCGAGCGUUGUUCGGAUUUACUGGGCGUAAAGGGCGCGUAGGCGGUCAGCACAAGUCAGUUGUGAAAUCUCCGGGCUUAACUCGGAAAGGUCAACUGAUACUGUGCGACUAGAGUGCAGAAGGGGCAACUGGAAUUCUCGGUGUAGCGGUGAAAUGCGUAGAUAUCGAGAGGAACACCUGCGGCGAAGGCGGGUUGCUGGGCUGACACUGACGCUAAUGCGCGAAAGCCAGGGGAGCGAACGGG